CCCGCUGCCGCUUCAGCGCCACACAUCGCCGGGACACCCGCGCCGGGCAGCCCCGCCAGCGCCCGCUUGCCGGCGCUGUGCCCUGCCUGAGCUCCGGGCCGCCUCUCCUGCCGCCCGACUUCGUGUCCCCACGGCUCCACGCGCCCCUCGUCACGGUCAGCUGUGGUUUCCGAGCCGCCCCCGAACCAAGCAGUUGACUUGCAGGCGUCCGCCAAGGCCUCCCCAAGGUGGCGCCACACCCAGGAUAGGCCCCCGGGCCCUCCGCAGCGCUGGCGCCGAGUUGAUGACGUAAAAGGUUCAGGCUCGCGGGGCGGGGCUAUUGGGCCUCACCACCGGACUCUAGUGGCUGCGGGAGCGUUUCUCUUUUCUCCUAGCGCCGCGGACGAGAUUUGUGGCGCCAGAAACACCCUGCGGCAGGAGCCGGGGAUAUCGACUAGUGAUAGAGAAGAGGAAACUGAGGCCACGGGCGGGUCCUACGGGGUUUUGGCAACACUGAAAUAUUAAAAGGUCGGCAGUAACUCGGGAAACUCUCCAAUCUCUAUGUCUUCUCCUUCAGCUAGACUAAGCAUUGGGAGCCAGUAAUGUCACCACCAUUACUCCCUGAGGAAGCAGUUACCUAGCACAGUACCUAGCCUAUGAUAAGUGCUACUUAAGACUUCCUGAAACAAGGAAUAGAUAAAUGAAUGGAAAAAAGGUAAAAUUUUAAAAAUCUAAAAAAAUUGCCAGAAUGAUUUGUUAACACAUUGUUGCAAGGGGAUGGUAAUCUCAGGUCCCCCCAUUUAUCUCCUCCAAGUUGGCUUGGGCAGUUCCCAAAUCUUGUCAGAGAAGCAGUGAACCGAAGGCUAUGAAUUUGUUCAGUCUGAACUGCUGGACGGAGACUCUUGGCGCUGGGAUGUACAAGGAAUCCUGUUUCCCAAACUUGGUAAGGAGCCCCAGUCAUCCAUCUGCUUGCCCAAGAACAGCUGCACGGACAUAUGCACCGGAGGGAAGUUUCAUCUGGAGGAGAGGGGGAAGGACAUCCCCAUCUGCUACACCACACCCUGACCCAGGAGGAACUAAGCCCGGCACCCCAAUUCUGGGAUGUGAGUAGUGGAUUCCAGAAGACCCUGGCUUGGGGAUCUCUACCUGGGUUGCGAGAGGCUGCUGGGAGGCACUUACCACACGGUGCCAGCCUGGAGGGCUUGGGACAGAUAAUUGGCCUUGUCCAAGUCCUUUGUGAAGACAGCUGCGGCCAGCCCGUACUUGGAAUUGUUGGCUCUCCCAACGACUUCCUCUAUGGUCUUGAACUUCAGAAUCUGCAUCACUGGCCCAAAGAUCUGGGGUUAGAGAGCACAAUGGGUGGGUGGGGCAGACACGGAACCACCUGUUACCCAGCUUUCCACAGCACUGAGCAGAUGAUUCCAGAUGUGGUAGCAAGCCUCCAGACACACCCUAACAGUUCCAGAGGGAGAAGACAGCUCUCACACUCACUGGAAUACAAAGGGAAGGAAGCUAAGGGGACUGGUUACCUUCUGUGUGCCAUGGACCUUACAUACCUUAUCUUAUUUCUAAACAGUCCUGUGAGGUAGGGGCUUGCACUGACAGGUCACAUGGAAACUUAGUUUCAAAGAAUUUCAGUCAGUCAUUCAACAAGGCACACACUAGAUGCUGAAGAAAAAGCUAUGAACAAAAUAGGGUCUCUGAUCUCAAGAUGUUCUGAGUUUAUUUUAUACUUUCCCUGCCCUAUUUCUGAGCCAUUUCUUCAAGGCAUCCUGGUUCCUUUUAGUGGGCUUUAGUGGGCUUCAGAAACCAAAACAUGGGAGCUAGGCGUGCUUGUUGCGGUUGGGGUGUGACUGCUCUCAGCCCUAUCAGGGGAGAGACCCCGGGGAACAGAUCCUGAUGUAAUCAAGUGAUUGGCAUGUGACCGUGACAAGUGGUGGGAGCCCAGAGGAGCUACCUGGCCUGAGUGAUGGGAGGCAGGGGAUCAGGGAAGGCAUCGAGAGGUGAUAGUCAAGCUGUGACACCACACGAGCAGAAACUGGCCAAACCAGAGUGAGGAUGAGGAGCAGGGAGGAGGGAAAUGGAGUUCCAGGCACCGGCACACGCAGCACCCAUUCUUACAACAUCCCAUUCUCCACUAAAGAAACUAGGACUUCCUGAAGAAAUCACUGAUUCUAGGACUGGGUGGAGAGUGUCAAGACGGAGGUGCGAGAAGACUGCCAGGAGCCCAUCACGGUUGGAGCGAGGACUGCGAGACGGGGCAUCUUGCACUUCGGGCACUAGCAAAGCAAAGGCAGCCCCUGCCCUUCUAGAAAAUGGAUAUUUUCCAUUUCCAUCAAGAUUAAAAAAAAAAAAAUAGCAUCGAAGUAGUCAUGAUGGGAAAAGAGGCAGAACUCUGUUGUACUCUCUUACCCUGAUUUUGCAUUUUAAUAUCAUUUUAUUUUGAAUUAUCCAUGAAAGGGGGUGGCAGUAUAAUGUUUUCCCUGCAUAGGGCCGCUAAAGGGCUUCAUCCUGCUGGGGGAAGUGGAGUGAGUCUGAAUCCACAAGGGCAGAGUACACAUGUCGGAUACCCCUGGAUCUCCAGUGUCUGUAGAGCACCUUGCACAUAGUAGGAAUUCAAAAAUUAUUUGUCGUAAGGGAUAUGGAGAUAUAUAUAUACGUAUAGCUGAUUCACUUUGUUAUAGAGCAGAAACUAACACACCAUUGUAAAGCAAUUAUACUCCAAUAAAGAUGUUAA